UACGGAGGGUGCAAGCGUUAAUCGGAAUUACUGGGCGUAAAGGGCACGCAGGUGUCUUGGUAAGUUGGAUGUGAAAGCCCCGGGCUUAACCUGGAAAUUGCAUUCGAUAGUGCCUGGCUAGAGUAUGGGAGAGGAAAGCGGAAUUCCCGGUGUAGCGGUGAAAUGCGUAGAUAUCGGGAGGAACAUCAGUGGCGAAGGCGGCUUUCUGGCCCAAUACUGACACUCAUGUGCGAAAGCGUGGGGAGCAAACAGG
rnacentral:misc_RNA from 1 species